rnacentral:rRNA from 1 species
UACAGGGGGGGCAAGCGUUGUUCGGAUUUACUGGGCGUAAAGGGCGCGUAGGCGGCAAUUCAAGUCAUCUGUGAAAUCUCCGGGCUUAACUCGGAACGGUCAGAUGAUACUGCUUUGCUAGAGUGCGGAAGGGGCAAUCGGAAUUCUUGGUGUAGCGGUGAAAUGCGUAGAUAUCAAGAGGAACACCUGAGGUGAAGACGGGUUGCUGGGCCGACACUGACGCUGAAGCGCGAAAGCCAGGGGAGCAACCGGG